CAACUUCCUAACCCGUAUGUCUUUGGAAUGUGGGAGGAAACCAGAGCACCCGGAGGAAACCCAUGCAGACAUGGGGAAAGCUGGGAACUGCACAGAGAAUCCUCUGUUUUUCCUGUGGAAUUUCUGCUUCAUCAGCUCAUUUUAUCUGCUUCUAUCAGGAACGAUCAGAUGUGAAGCAACAGGCUGGUGUUCAUCAUUUAGAUUCUCUGUAAUGACAUUGUUCAUGGGUGGACGUGGUCCCUUGGUCUGCCUGUGAGCGUGUGAAGAAGGUAGAAGAUACAGGAGCCUGAGGGCACAUACCACUGGGCUUAAGGACAGCUUCUACCCGACUGUAAUAAGACUACUGAACAGUUCCCGUAUACGAUGAGAUGGACUCUGAGCUCAUGAUCUACCUUGUUGUGACCUUGCACUUUAUUGCUCCGCACUUUCUCUGUAGCUGUGACACUUUACUCUGUGAUGUCAUUGUUUUACCUGUAAUACCUCAAUGCAUUCUGUACUAACUAAAUGUAACUGCACUGUGUAAUGAAUUGACCUGUAUGCAAGACAAGUUUUUCACUGUACCUCGGUACAA